rnacentral:rRNA from 1 species
GACGAACGCUGGCGGCGUGCUUAACACAUGCAAGUCGAGCGGUAAGGCCCUUUCGGGGGUACGACGAGCGGCGAACGGGUGAGUAACACGUGGGUGACCUGCCCUCAGCUCUGGGAUAAGCCUGGGAAACCGGGUCUAAUGCUGGAUAUGACUCCAUGACGCAUGUUGUGGGGUGGAAAGCCUUGUGCGGCUGAGGAUGGGCCCGCGGCCUAUCAGCUUGUUGGUGGGGUGAUGGCCUACCAAGGCGACGACGGGUAGCCGGCCUGAGAGGGCGACCGGCCACACUGGGACUGAGACACGGCCCAGACUCCUACGGGAGGCAGCAGUGGGGAAUCUUGCGCAAUGGGCGAAAGCCUGACGCAGCGACGCCGCGUGAGGGAUGACGGCCU